CGGAGGAACAUCUGUGGCGAAGGCGGCUAACUGGGACUGACCUGACGCUGAGGUGCGAAAGCGUGGGGAGCGAACCGGAUUAGAUACCCGGGUAGUCCACGCCGUAAACGAUGUCGGCUCGGUGUUUGGGGAUGAGUACCAUUCCUGAGUGCCUCAGUAUACACGGUAAGCCGACCGCCUGGGGACUACGAGCGCAAGCUUAAAACUCAAAGGAAUUGACGGGGGCCCGCACAAGCAGCGGAGCGUGUGGUUUAAUUCGACGCAACACGAAGAACCUUACCCAGGUUUGACAUGCUUCUGCAAGCCCACGGAGACGUGGGACCUUAGAGGGUGAAGCACAGGUGCUGCAUGGCUGUCGUCAGCUCGUGUCGUGAGAUGUUGGGUUAAGUCCCGCAACGAGCGCAACCCUCGCUGCCAGUUACCAGUGUCUGGCGGGACAGCCGUCUAGAGAGACGGAGGAAGGCGGGGAUGACGUCAAGUCCGCAUGGCCCUUACGCCUGGGGCGACACACACGCUACAAUGGCCGGGACAGUGCGCUGCGACCUCGCAAGAGGGAGCUAAUCGCCAAACCCGGUCUCAGUGCAGAUCGGGGGCUGCAACUCGCCCCCGUGAAGAUGGAGUUGCUAGUAACCGCGUAUCAGCCAUGGCGCGGUGAAUACGUGCCCGGGCCUUGCACUCACUGCCCGUC
rnacentral:rRNA from 1 species